rnacentral:misc_RNA from 1 species
AUUGCUAUAAAUAUUGAUUGAGGCUCGAAUUGUAAUUUAAAGACACAUUCUUGAAACACGUAUCACUUUCACUAUAUGUAUAUAGAAGCACCUAAUUGAACAAAACCACAAUUUUUCAUUAGGCUACAAACAAGGACCGAAAAAUUAUUAAAGUCCAAUUCACCCCCUCUUGGACUAUUUUUGAGACAACAGUAAGUUUUCUGUUCUGAUUGCCCAUUUGAAUGAGACAGUCUUUCUCAGUAUUAAUCCCUUAUUUUUUUUCCAAUAUUGUGUUUGCUUUAAGUCAUUUAGUUUUUGUAACUAAGUAAUUUAUUCCAUUCCUCAUGCAGAUACAUAACAAAGUCAGUCUCGCUGGAUUGCAUGACAAAGGUUUGUGUUCAUUAGCAGGAAUGCUUUCAGCUGAAAACCUUGUUACUGCACACAUUUACUUUGGUGGGGAGCCCACUGCAUAGUUCAGAUGCUCAGCAUGUUGUCCUGAACUCACAUGUAGAAUUAGUAUGAAUUAGGGAUUUAUCUCACAGAUCAUAUUGUUGGUUUGCGGAACUAAAUGAAAGUAAAAAUCUCACAGAUCUUGAAGCAAAUCUAUCUAGAAGUUCACACCCCCUUUCUUGAAAUGUAGUAGUACAGUUAUUGACAUUGUCUAAUAAUUCAGGGAAGGCAGCCAUUGUUGAGAUUGAAACAAAAAGUUAUGAGAAAGAGUCUGGUGAAUUAUUAUGCAUGAACAGGGGAGUGCAUUCUUAAAAUAUUCAAUUCGGCACUUACAUGGUAUUGAUCUCAGAUGAUAUAUUAUUUGUUUUGCACUCUGCAGAUCAACUGUUUACCUUCGAGGCGCUGGUGGCUUCUCAAACCCAAGUCACCCAUUUUCUUACUCCAAUUAUCCAAACAACCAGUUUGCAGCUGUAAAAAUUCCAAAAACUCAACCUUUUGCAGUAUUUGAAGAUCUUAUUCAACCAUCUCAGGCAUUGUUAUAUAGGCUAUCUGGUGAUUAUAAUCCUCUGCAUUCAGAUCCCAUGAUUGCUAAAGUUGCAGCGUACGUGUGCCUGACAAUUUAAACCUCCUUUCAUGGCAAUGAUUUUACAAGUAUGGUUUACAACAUCAACAUUCAAAAUUAAUGUGACUGGAUGAUGUUUGCGGUCCAAAAGCAUGAUGGGAACUGGAGAUUAUAUAGUUUUGAAAAUCCUUACUUUUAUUGGUAACAAAUUGGAAUCUGGUUUCACCAAGAUGAUAUCAGUAAUUGCGUUCCUACUGUAUCCACCCUGUGAAUUUCAGUCACACUUGCGUGCAGAUGAGAGCCAUAGUUCUGAUGUAUUGAAAAUUGAAAUGACUUUUAUUUGCCUUUAAACAUUGUGGCAACUUUGCAUUGAUUGUUUCAGUAUUCAUUCGGCACCAAUACAUCCUAAACUUUGAUCUAGUCUAUUUUUUCAAAAAAAGAGAGAAAAAUUGACGUAAUCUUGUGUUAUCUCUUGUUAAAGAUUCUCCUGUCCAAUAUUGCAUGGGCUAUGCACACUUGGAUUUGCAGAGGAGAUGCAAGCAUAGUUAAGAACGUAUCUGAUUGAUUCCUUUUACAUGUGUACCCUGGUGAAACAUUGAUCACUGAAAUGUGGCUGAAAGGCUUGAGGUAGAAUUUCAUUUCCUUAAAGGAUGAUUAUGUCUGUUUAGUUCAAUAUUUUGUGUUCCUUUCACAGGUGGGUAUUAUCUACAGGGUUAUAUAUCAGGCGAGGGUGAAAGAACGAAAACGGGCAGUUUUGUCAGGCUUUGUGGACCUCCAUCAUUUAAUAUCAUCACUGUAAAUUAAUUCCGGAGUUAUUGAACAAGGGGGGUUUUAUUCUCUAAAUAUAUUUGAAUAAUUGUCGCUAGACCUUACCGUUGCAAUGGGAAAUUUACCUAUAAAAGGAAUAAGAAAAGCUUUCAUAGUGUAGACAAGCAUGAAUUGUAGUCUCCAUCACAUAUUCACGGUGGUCGUCUUAUUCAUUUUGUCAAUACAAAGAUCUUUGCUUCUGUUGUGGACUAGUUGUCUGACUAAUGAAAAUGCUUAUUAUUCAUUUGCCGAAGUAUAUAAAUUUCUAAG